rnacentral:ncRNA from 1 species
GCCCGGCGGCGGCAGGGCUUACACAGCCGCCCGGACGGUGACGGCCACCACCUAAAAACGCCUA